rnacentral:rRNA from 1 species
CCCUUAGAUGUUCUGGGCUGCACGCGCGCUACACUGAUGCGCUCAACGAGUUUUAACCUUGCCUGGAAAGGUUGGGUAAUCUUUUUAAAACGCAUCGUGAUGGGGAUAGAUUAUUGCAAUUAUUAAUCUUCAACGAGGAAUUCCUAGUAAGCGCGAGUCAUCAGCUCGUGCUGAUUACGUCCCUGCCCUUUGUACACACCGCCCGUCGCUCCUACCGAUUGAAUGGUCCGGUGAAAUCUUCGGACUCUGUGUUUAUUGAUUCGUUUCAAUUUACUACUGGAGAAAGUUGAGUAAACCUUACCAUUUAGAGGAAGGUGAAGUCGUAACA